UACGGAAGGUGCAAGCGUUAUUCGGAAUCAUUGGGCGUAAAGGGUGCGUAGACGGCACAUUAAGUCAACUGUUAAAUCUCGUGGCCUAACUGGGAAAAUGCGGUAGAUACUGAUAUGCUAGAGGAUGGAAGAGAGAAGUGGAAUUCUGGGAGUAGCGGUAAAAUGCGUAGAUAUCGAGAGGAACACCGAUGGCGAAGGCAGCUUCUUGGUCCAUUCCUGACGUUGAGGCACGAAAGUGUGGGGAGCAAACAGG
rnacentral:rRNA from 1 species